rnacentral:rRNA from 1 species
GUASGGGGCGAGCGUUGUCCGGAUUUACUGGGCGUAAAGCGCGCGCAGGCGGCCCGUUAAGUCGGAUGUGAAAACCUGGGGCUCAACCCCAGGCCUGCACCCGAUACUGGCGGGCUCGAGGCAGGUAGGGGAGAGUGGAAUUCCCGGUGUAGCGGUGAAAUGCGCAGAUAUCGGGAGGAACACCGGUGGCGAAGGCGGCUCUCUGGGCCUGUCCUGACGCUCAGGCGCGAAAGCUAGGGGAGCAAACAGGAUUAGAUACCCUGGUAGUCCUAGCCGUAAACGUUGGGUGCUAGGUGUGGGGCGGGGAUCGACCCGUUCUGUGCCGAAGCUAACGCAUUAAGCACCCCGCCUGGGGAGUACGGCCGCAAGGCUA